GAUGAACGCUGGCGGCGUGCCUAAUACAUGCAAGUCGAGCGAACAGACGAGGAGCUUGCUCCUCUGACGUUAGCGGCGGACGGGUGAGUAACACGUGGAUAACCUACCUAUAAGACUGGGAUAACUUCGGGAAACCGGAGCUAAUACCGGAUAAUAUAUUGAACCGCAUGGUUCAAUAGUGAAAGACGGUUUUGCUGUCACUUAUAGAUGGAUCCGCGCCGCAUUAGCUAGUUGUAAGGUAACGGCUUACCAAGGCAACGAUGCGUAGCCGACCUGAGAGGGUGAUCGGCCACACUGGAACUGAGACACGGUCCAGACUCCUACGGGAGGCAGCAGUAGGGAAUCUUCCGCAAUGGGCGAAAGCCUGACGGAGCAACGCCGCGUGAGUGAUGAAGGUCUUCGGAUCGUAAAACUCUGUUAUUAGGGAAGAACAAAUGUGUAAGUAACUAUGCACGUCUUGACGGUACCUAAUCAGAAAGCCACGGCUAACUACGUG
rnacentral:rRNA from 1 species